AGUAAGCGUGACAAUAUCGUCAUGGGACUUAACAUUCACUGCAGAGCUCACAACGGAUGCCAAAUGAUCCCUUUCUGCGCCCAUGAUUUCUGCGGCCUCCACACACUGAGCAGCCACCAGAGCAGCGGCAGAAGCCAUGGCCAUAUCAAUUCUGGCCAUCUGCUCGUUUUUACCAGGUGAAGAAGCUACUGUCGCUGCAGCUACAGCUGCCACAGCAGAUGCAACCGCUGCAACUGAGACAGCUGCAUGGACCUGUGCAUUCUGAGCUCUA